UGGUGGGUAGCUCAAUCUGGUAGAGCAAUGAACGGGUUAAUUACCCAUAGUCCUUAGUUCACAAACUUGCCUGUAAAGGCCGACGAAUCGAGGGUUAUCGCCAAUUCAUAGGUUACAGGUUCAAAUCCUGUUCCACCAG
rnacentral:tRNA from 3 species